GGGGAAUAUUGGACAAUGGGCGCAAGCCUGAUCCAGCCAUGCCGCGUGGGUGAAGAAGGCCUUCGGGUUGUAAAGCCCUUUUGUUGGGAAAGAAAAGCAGCCGGCCAAUACCCGGUUGUUCUGACGGUACCCAAAGAAUAAGCACCGGCUAACUUCGUGCCAGCAGCCGCGGUAAUACGAAGAGGACAAGCGUUGUCCGGAUUUACUGGGCGUAAAGGGCACGCAGGCGGUUUUUUAAGUCAGAUGUGAAAGGUACCGGCUCAACCGGUAACAUGCAUUUGAAACUGAAAGACUUGAGUAUUGGAGAGGCAAGUGGAAUUCCUAGUGUAGCGGUGAAAUGCGUAGAUAUCACGAAGAACUCCAAUUGCGAAGGCAGCUCACUGGAGUGUAACUGACGCUGAUGCUCGAAAGUGUGGGUAUCAAACA
rnacentral:rRNA from 1 species